rnacentral:rRNA from 1 species
GUACUAAGGUAGCAUAAUAACUAGCCUUUUAAUUAAAGGAUGGAAUGAAAGAACCAACGAGCUAAAGCCUCAUCCUUUAUAACAAUAAAAAAAUUAUCAGUAAGGUAAAAAGACCUUAAUACAAUAGGAAGACGACAAGACCCCGAUGAACUUUAACAAUAUGUUUAGCUGGGGCAGUAACAAAAUAAAACCUUAAUAACAACUACUAUUAUAAAGAAAUAUACAAGUCUAAAACAAGUUACCACAGGGAUAACAGCACUAUUCCUUUCAAGAGCACUAAUCCAAGAAGGAGUUUGUGACCUCGAUGUUGAAUUACCUAUAAUAUAUGGGCAACCCCAUACCACAAUGGUCUGUUCGACCAAAAACAGGUACAUGAU